UUGGCUCUGCGUAUUGCAGGACUGAUCCUGAUGAUCGUAAUCACCAUUCAUGUCAUCAGAAUCAAAUGGAACACAAAACCACUUGAUGAUGACGACAGUGAAAACAGUGAUGGUGACGUCCAGUAUGAAAAUGAUGGAGCACGUCCUGCUGCUGCUAGACUGCACUGAUCAACAACUUCCACACCAACUUCAGAUCAUCAGAAAGUCACAUAGCAUCAGUCAUUUUACACUUGUGAUCAAAGCUUUGACUUAAAAUGAAUGUUCUAUAUUUAGUGAAUCAGUGAAGGUUAAAAUCAUCAGGUGGACUCAACGUCUGCUGGAUGUAUGGAUACAGAUGGAAACAUUUGCUUUGCUAUAUAAGGUGUAAAUAUGUCAGAGGUGUUUUUGUGCUUCAAAGAGACAAAUAAA